AACGAACGCUGGCGGCAGGCCUAACACAUGCAAGUCGAGCGGACCCUUCGGGGUUAGCGGCGGACGGGUGAGUAACGCGUGGGAACGUGCCCUUUGCUUCGGAAUAGCCCUGGGAAACUGGGAGUAAUACCGGAUACGCCCUUUUGGGGAAAGAUUUAUCGGCGAAGGAUCGGCCCGCGUUGGAUUAGGUAGUUGGUGGGGUAAUGGCCUACCAAGCCGACGAUCCAUAGCUGGUGUGAGAGGAUGAUCAGCCACACUGGGACUGAGACACGGCCCAGACUCCUACGGGAGGCAGCAGUGGGGAAUCUUAGACAAUGGGGGAAACCCUGAUCUAGCCAUGCCGCGUGAGCGAUGAAGGCCUUAGGGUUGUAAAGCUCUUUCACCGGGGAAGAUAAUGACGGUACCCGGAGAAGAAGCCCCGGCUAACUCCGUG
rnacentral:rRNA from 1 species